UACGGGGGGGGUAAGCGUUGUUCGGAAUUACUGGGCGUAAAGGGCUCGUAGGCGGCCAACUAAGUCGGACGUGAAAUCCCUCAGCUUAACUGGGGAACUGCGUUCGAUACUGGAUGGCUUGGAUUUGGGAGAGGGAUGCGGAAUUCCAGGUGUAGCGGUGAAAUGCGUAGAUAUCUGGAGGAACACCGGUGGCGAAGGCGGCAUCCUGGACCAAUAUUGACGCUGAGGAGCGAAAGCCAGGGGAGCAAACGGG
rnacentral:rRNA from 1 species